rnacentral:rRNA from 1 species
GACGAACCGUGCGAACGUUGUUCGGAAUCACUGGGUUUAAAGGGCGCGUAGGCGGGCUGUCAAGUCGGUGGUGAAAUCGUUCCGCUCAACGGGACAAUGGCCUUCGAUACUGGCGGUCUGGAGGGAGGUAGGGGCAUGCGGAACUUCCGGUGGAGCGGUGAAAUGCGUUGAUCUACAGAGGAACACCAAAAAGGGCGAAGGCAGUCAACUAUUCUGAUCCUGACAUUGAGGCAUGAAAGCGUGGGGAGCAAACCGG